rnacentral:lncRNA from 1 species
GCCAUUUGUGAAGGACUGGAAAAGGAAAAUGUCCUGAUGAUGCCAAAAAUAAUAAUAAUAGGGGAAUGAAAUCUUUAAACUUCAGGCCAGUAAACUUAACUUUGAUUCCAGACAAAUUUUUAGAACUUAUUCUUAGAGAUGUUAGUUAACCUUUAGGAAAGAAAGAGGUGAUCACUAAGAGCCAGGAUGGCUUCAUCAGUAGCAAAUUAGUCCAGCUUAACCUUAGGCCCUUUGUUUGGAUAGGAUUAAGAAAUUGAUGGCUCUGGCAAAUUAUAUAUAUACAUAUAUAUAUGCAUAUAUACAUAUCUAUGAUAUGUAUUAGUUUUAAUUAAGCAUUUGAAACAAUCACUCAUAUUGCUUUGAAGAAGAUGGAGAGAUAUAUUCUACACAAUAGUCACUUGUAUUGCUAAGUCUAAGCAGAUUAUGAUAAUGAAACCUAUUUUCUUGGCUGUCAUAAACAGAUGAUUGACUUAGGUACUCAAUAUCUUCAAAAGAAAUGAGGCAUGAAGAGAUACUAGGUAUAUGGCUUAAUGCCCUAGGCCAUCAAAUAAACAUCAUUGUGGAAAAGGAAUGCUUCAGAUGUUUAGAGUGAAGGUUUCUGAGUACCUAUCAGUGAUGGGCUUCUUCUGUCUUCUCAUCUCAAGUAAAAAAGUAUUUGCUCAUUUUCUCAACAGAUGGCUGCUGAAUGCCUACUAUGUACUCAUUCUACACUACGUGUUGAAAUCUAAAGGGAAGUGUAAGGACUAUCUGAAACAGCUCAUUUCCUGCUCUGCUUCCUAGUCUGGUCAUAUGAAGCCUAGAGUUGAUUUUGGUGGCAAGGAUGCCUUUGGAUACCAAGUUGUUGUGGGGAAUGAAAGAAAGUGAGACGAGUCAAAGACAUUUACAUUUUGAAUAGUGGAAGGUAAGGGUGGAGAGUCAAGAUCUCCUGAUUCCACCAGCUACCUUUCCUUUAAAAAUUAAGAUGGGGGCAGCUGGGUAGCUCAGUGGAUUGAGAGUCAGGCCUAGAGACGGGAGGUCCUGGGUUCAAAUUUGACCUCAGAUACUUCCCAGCUGUGUGACCCUGGGCAAGUCACUUAACCCCCACUGCCUAGCCCUUACCACUGUUCUGCCUUGGAGCCAAUACACAGUAUUGACUCCAAGACGGAAGGAAAGGGUUUAAAAAAAAUUAAAAUUAAAAUUAAGAUAACUUGCAUUUAUCUUAGAUGUAUAUUUGUGUCCUCACACA